GCGUGGACUGGUUCCCCGGUGAGAUCAACUGCACGGGCAAACGUACUCCUCUUCUUCUCUCGCGCAGGCUAGGUUGACGUUGCUGCCGGUAUGUCACGUCGGUGUCCCUCGUGGCUGAGCCCGGUGGGGGAGCGGUGGGACGCCGCCUCCUUGACCGGCGCCCUGAAGGCCGCCGGUGCCCGGCGGUCCGCGCCCCACGUCGUGCCGCUCCACGCGGUGCUACUGAAGCUCGGCCUCUCGGCGUACACUAUCCUGGCCACCUCGCUUGCUCACCUAGCGCUCCGGUGCGGGCUCCUCGAGUACGCUCGGGAGCUGUUCGACGAAAUGCCCCAUCGGGAUGUGGUCUCCUGGACGUCCCUCAUCACCGGCCACGCACAUCACGAUGCUUGUGGGGAGCUGGCAUUGUUGAUGCAAGGGAUGCAGAUACAUGCAAAAGUAAUUCGAGGUGGAUUUGUGUUAUAUGUGGUUAUCAGGAAUUCCUUAGUGGAUAUGUACGCAAAAUGUGGGUGUGUCGAUUCAGCAGAGCUUGUCUUUAAUGAUGCAAUGUCAUCGGAUGCUGUUCUUUGGAUCACAAUGAUCUCAGCUUAUGGCAAGUUUGGCCGUGUAUACGAUGCAAUCUCUAUGUUUGAUAGGAUGCCAAAAUUGGGAAUAAAACAAGAUGGUGUUGCAUAUCUUGCAGUUUUAUCAGCUUGUAGCCAUAGUGGACUUGUCAAGGAAGGCUGGAACUACUUUAAGUUGAUGUUUCAUGGUCCAAACUCAGUUAAGAUAGAGCCUAAGCACUAUGGUUGUAUGGCAGAUCUCUUGUGUAGGAGUGGUUACUUAGAAGAAGCUCUUGAUUUCAUUAGAAAUAUGCCUUUUGACUCCAGUGUUGCUGCUUGGAGCGCUUUACUCAAUUCAUGCAGGAUCCACGGUAAUGCUAAAUUAGGUCAACUUGCAGCAUCCCGUCUGCUUCAGCUUGAUCCAAAUAAUCACAGCAACUGGGUUGCUCUAUCAAAUGUACAUGCAUCAGAAAUUAAUUGGCAUGAUACCUUGAUGAUCAGAGAGAGCAUGAGCAGUGAGUGUGUGAAGAAAGAGCCCGGAUGUAGUUGUGUUGAACUGCAUGAUGGAGUUCAUGUGUUUCUAAUGGUUGAUCAAUCUCACCCUGAAUUGGUUCAUUUAUUGCAGGCUCUUGAUUCACUAAAGGAGGAUAUAUAUUGUUGAUAUCCGCAUAAUGAGGAGGAGGUAUUGGGAUGCCAUCUAGAUGUAUGUGAUCCGUAUUACUUGGCAUCAAAUUCUCUUCUUAGUGGAGCUUAACUCGGAGUAACAUGUUUCCCUCAUGAAGACGACUAUCAAUGUGUAGUCCUUGAAAAGUACCUGCAGAAGCACACUCAGGCGCCUGUUUUGCACCCCUGCUGCUGAAUCUCAUUAUGAGCACACCAAUGCAAUUCAUUGCAAUAACAUUGCUGUUGUGUUGAUGUCUCAUAGUAUUGUAAUCUGGCUCUCUCUCUCCUGAAAUGAAGACAUGAGAAGAUUAAAAGUACAUAAAUUGGGUCAAAACCACAUGCGAAUCUUAGAUAUGGGUUUUCUCUUCGGACAAUGAUAGCUACUGAGUAAUACCAAUCUAGAGAGUGAAGAUUGUUAGAGUACAUGACAAAAAUGCAUGUUAUAAAUGAAUAAAUGCAAAUAGCAGGUUAGACAAUUCUAAAUGUAUUGUUUUUGACAAAUAGUACCGAUGUCUAAACUACCAUACUUAUUACAGGGUAUACAAAAGAACAAAAAAUAUAUUGGCAGCAAAUUCUUUUAAGAGGUCUCAUGUAAUUUCUUUCUAAGAGGUACACAUAACAACUAAAAUUAUUGUAUUUUUUCUUAAAAAAUCUCCAAAAUUGUGAAAGGUACAUAUGUCUCUUAUCCCAAAAUUGUAAAACAGAAUUCCUAAUACUAUAGUAGACAGUAGUAGAAUAUUAUGGCAAAAUUUUAGGGAGAAAAAAAAAAGGACGGUUAACUCCACGAAGAUGUCUUGAGAUCAAAUUAAAUCCCAUGACAAUUCUAGAUUUUAGAGUUUGAAAUGUAACAGAGAUCUCACUCGUAAAUUAAACACAAUCGAGUUAUUAGAGCAAUUACCUCCAUGUUUGGGAAAAACCAAGAAGUCAUCAUCGUCGUCAAGCCAAGGAGACAAGCUUCCAACACUCGAGCCUCUUAGUUUGGUCAAGAACAACAUUGAAAGCUUGUCGGCGGCGGCCAUCUGUUGGUGAGAGGUCCAAGCAGCACAUGUUGCCGUAGUUAGAGAAAUUUGUUCCAUUUGUUUCUGUUUAAUAGAGUUUAUUCAACGUACACACUUUUACCUUUCAGUAGAAAGAUCAAGAUCCAUGGCAGAUAUUUUAGAAAAUAACCAGCACCUAUACAUGAAUGAAGAUAGUACAAUACAGAUAAGAUGGUAGGUGCCGAAUUUCGCAUUCCUCACCUAUAAAAUGCAUAUACCUAGAUCCAGAAAUACAUUGCACAUUUUCAACAAACAUAAGACCUUACAUGACUAGAGCAUCUGAAGAUAGUAGUAUUGGUUAGCUAGUGAAUGGAAGGUAUCAGGAAUUUGAACACCUCUUCUACAUGGCUUUAUUUAGCGGCUGCAUUAGGGUAAUUUAAGAAAUACCUUUAUUUGUUGUCUCAUCCAUCUGUCUAGCUGAUUUUUCUUUGCUGGUAUGGUUAUAUUCCAUUUUUGGUGGCCGACGAAAAUUGAGGGGACGUGCACCGAAGUCGCAUAUCUGCAAUAGAAGUAAGAAGAAAAUUGGUACGGUACAUCUUGCUAUUUUUCUAAUACCGGUGGCAGCCUACGGCCUUAAUCGAUCAUCCCACUUGCUGAUGUGAUUAAUUAAUUUGGAUAUGUGCUUACUGUUGGUCCAUGAUCCUAGGAUAGGAUGAUAGUGUGUGAUUGAUUACAUGUACGCACAUGAAUUUUCUGGUACCACUUAAUCUACACGGUCCAAAUAAUCACACGGUCUAGAAAUCUGUCCUAUGCAUUGCAACAAGGAAUUUGUGGGCCUUUCAUCUUGUUUAUGGCAAUCCAAGGAACACUAUCUUUCGUUUGUUGGAGAUUUUGCCGUCAUCAUCACUACGCUGAAUGUAUGACUAUCAAAAACAAAUCGGUAACCGACUCCACUUAUCAUUCAUAGUUCUUGAAUUGAAUAUUCAACUCAUCAAAACAUUACUCAAUGAUCCAACUCACGCAUGAAUUCAACAGGAGUACUCUUGUUUCACCUGUCUGUGUCCCCUUCUUGGUACAUCCUAUCCCUAGCUACAUACAUAUGUAGAUUUGUUUCUCACUUAAUUAGCUAGCAAUUAACAUGGAACAAAAGAAUUGAAAACCACUAAACUAUAAUGACACAAGCUAGCAAAAUACUUUAUGUGUUUGUUCUAUUUUAACUAGGAGCAUGUUAAUUAGCAGCACUAACAGAUCAACCAUUGUUACACGAACAUUGAACCAUGUACAUUUUUACCUUUUUGAGAUUAUGUUUCAUGCAAUUGAAUUCUUUUGUGACAGCUCAGUUGAUUAAUGAUGUGUGACUCUUCAACUCAGGUUAUUGCCCCUCUUUGAUUAAUUUUGUUUGUCACAAGGAAGAAGAUAUAUAGACCUUAUCAGAAUUGAAUUCAGACACUACACAACCAAGCAACCAAUUUAGGUCACAUACGCUAUGUAUGAUCAAUGGCAUCAUGGUGAUGCUAUAACUGAACUUAUAUAUGCAUCAUACCACCCACCAUGUAGCCAGUGCCAAAGGUCCUCCUAUGCCUCUGGGUCUCUGGGGAAUGCAUGUAUAGAUCAGAUGCAAAGCUAUUUCAUCUUCAUGAAGUUAUUUCAACUAUCUAGAGCAACCUAUCAAAGUAGAGGCGCCUUUUGUCCUUUAGGAAGAAGAGUGAUGGGACCAUUUUAUGGUGGAAAUUUAAAAUAACAUAGCAUAUUAACUGACAAAGAAUAAUGAAAUAUUAAGAUGCAGAUGGCAAAUGUGUAGAACUUGGCAUCGACACCAACAAAAUGUAUCCAUAGAAAAACAUUCCAUAGGUUCGACAAAAAAAAAAACGAGCUUGUAUGGCUAGAGUCUCUAAACAUUUUCAGUGGCGGUGAAGAAUGGAAGGUAUAUGGAGAUGUUACGGCAAGUUGAUGUUGCCUACAUUUGGAUGGUUUAAUGAACAAUAUUGUAUUUGGUCUCAUCCAUCUUGGUAGCUAAACCUUUUUGUGCUUCCACACUUAAUAUCCACUUGAUUGGGGACAUGGA